CUUCUGAGAAGACCAUCCACUGAGACCCUAGAGCCUCUCUUUCGGACAAGUCCCCUUCAGAUUGAUCGUUUGGAUACCUGUCUAUUGAGAAGCUGAACCCAAGAAACAAAUACUCAAA